CGGGACAAUUCUGCGACGUGAACAUAGAUGACUGUGAAGAGAAGCCGUGCGGUGUUCUGAGUAUUUGCAAAGACACCGUCAACGGCUACAAUUGUUUCUGUGCACCUGGAUUCAUUGGUAAUAACUGUGAGGUGGAGGUAAACGAGUGUCUGAGCCAGCCCUGCCACAACGGAGCUUCCUGCUCUGAUGAGCUCAACGCAUUCAGCUGCUUAUGCCCAAUCGGAGUCACAGGUGACUACUGUGAAAUCAACAUUGAUGAGUGUCUGUCAGGGCCAUGCAGACACAAUAGCACGUGUUUGGACCUGGCCAAUGGCUAUGAAUGUGUCUGUCUACCCGGCUUCACUGGCGCUGGGUGUGAGUUCGACAUUGACGAGUGUGCCUCUUCUCCCUGCAAGAACGGAGCCACUUGCAUUGACCAGCCUGGCAAUUACCACUGUCAGUGUGUGGCUCCA